GCUAGUAAUGGCAGGUCAGCAUACUGCCGUGAAUACGUUCCCGGGCCUUGUACGCACCGCCCGUCACACCAUGAGAGUUGGGAAUACCCGAAGCCUGUGAGCUAACAUUUAUGAGGCAGCAGUCGAAGGUAGAAUCAAUGAUUGGGGUGAAGUCGUAACAAGGUACC
rnacentral:rRNA from 1 species